rnacentral:rRNA from 1 species
UACAGAGGUCCCAAGAGUUGUUCGGAUUCACUGGGCGUAAAGGGUGCGUAGGUGGUCGGGUAAGUCUGAUGUGAAAUCUCGCAGCUUAACUGCGAAACUGCAUUGGAUACUAUCCGGCUUGAGGAAUGGAGGGGAGACUGGAAUACUUGGUGUAGCAGUGAAAUGCGUAGAUAUCAAGUGGAACACCAGUGGCGAAGGCGAGUCUCUGGACAUUUCCUGACGCUGAGGCACGAAAGCCAGGGGAGCAAACGGG